AGAUUGAACGCUGGCGGCAUGCUUUACACAUGCAAGUCGAACGGCAGCACGGGGGCAACCCUGGUGGCGAGUGGCGAACGGGUGAGUAAUGCAUCGGAACGUAUCCUUAAGUGGGGGGAUAACGCAUCGAAAGAUGCGCUAAUACCGCAUAAUCUCUGAGGAGAAAAGCAGGGGAUCGCAAGACCUUGCGCUUUUGGAGCGGCCGAUGUCUGAUUAGCUAGUUGGUGAGGUAAAGCUUACCAAGGC
rnacentral:rRNA from 1 species